AUGGCCUGGGCUCCUCUCCUCCUCUUUCUACUUGCUCACUAUCCAGGCUCCUGGGCACAGUCUGGGCUGACACAGGAAGCAUCGAUGCCAGGGUUUGUGGGGAAGACAGUCACUCUGUCUUGCACUGGAAACAGCAACAAUGUUGGUAGCUUUGGUGCAGGCUGGUACCAACAGAUUCCUGGUGCUGCCCCCAAAACUGUGAUGCUUGGAAAUACUCGACCUUCUGGGAUCCCAGCUCGGUUCACUGGUUCCAGGUCUGGCAACAAGGCCUCUCUAACCAUCUCAGAUAUCCAGCCCGAGGACAAGGCUGACUAUUACUGUUCUGCAUUGAAUUAUAGUAUCGCAAUGCCACUCUUUGGUGGGCAAGCAUAUCUCACCAUGCUCUGUGUUCCUUCUAACUCUGCCUACAGAAAUUACACCAUGAAGUGCUGA